rnacentral:misc_RNA from 1 species
UUUUUCAGUUUAGACAUGAUCCAGGUGGAGAGGACAAAGGAGAUGCGUCUGAAUUCAAUCAAGACGCAGAUACUGAGCUACCUGGGUCUUCUGGGCGGGCAGCCCAAUAUCAGCAGCAACCAGAACAACGGCACAAGCAAUCAACAGGCGGAGAUCAUCCGUCAGAUGUACGACAAGAUGAAGAGGUUACCGCAGUGGCCUCCCUCCGAUGUAUACACCGAGAAAGUACAGAGUUUCUACCCUUCCUGUGAAUUACCAAGGAAUACAGAUGAAGAACUGUGGAGCAACGGAGAGUCGAUGCAUUUGCUGUUUGAUUUGAAUUUCCCGACCAGUUUGCAAGGCAAUGUUGUCAACAUCAUCGCUGCUAAACUCAGGCUGCAUAAGGUCUCCCAGGCCAACAUGACAGUGGCUGUUUCUGAGACGUGCCCUCCUCCUGCAUUCGAUGGGGGUGAGUCCACCCCUGCCAUCAAGGCAUUCAACCCCAGCCUCCCUCUACCACCUUCCCCUAUCACCGUGGACGAUAAGAAAAUUCGAGUCUCCAUCUACUGGUACACCAGAUCCCUCAAGAAACACCGCGUGAAGAGGAAGCUGCUAGACAGUCAGAUGGUGUCUGUGUACGGGGACGCGUGGACCGAGUGGAAUGUCCGCCAGGCAGUCAAGGCCUGGAAGGAGUCCAACAAGAACUUCGGCCUGGCCAUCGAGGUGGAAGAUGAAGACGGAAAUCUGCUGCCGGCACACAAAUACUUCUCGCCUAUGAACUGCUCCAAGGAGGCCUCGACCUCCCGACCAAUCCCCGGCUUCCUGGUGGACGCGGCACGCCUCUUCUCGCUGGAGCACAACCAAUCAGAGACGAGCAAUGGCGGCAGUAGCUCCGCCUACCACUUCAACACGCACAUGUUCCCCAUGAUAGACCUGUGCACGGUUGAACUGCCCGAGACGGAAAUCGCCGAAGCUGUGCUCUAUCAUAAUGCCAAGUUCGCACUGGAAAGACAGCUGUUGACUGUCGUGAGGAAUAACAGCAUUGCGUCAGCUGACGUCAUGGAUGACAACAGGCAUAGGAUCAGGCAUCAGAAUCAUCAUAGGAUUGUGGUGAUGAACAGCACCGCUGUGGAAGCAAUGGCGGAUGCUGCCUCUUCGAUCUCGUCAUCGUCGCCUCCAGCCAGUGCCUCACUGAUCGCGUCGUCGCCAGUGCGACACACAGAGGUGGUGCGACGCGACAACGGCGACAGUGUCGAGGAGAUGACCUUCACGAGCAGCACCGAUGACCUUGACGGCGAUCAGCUGAGAAAGCACAUCAUUGUGCAGAAGGUCAUCAAACGCAACCGGCAGCCAGCGUCAGCUGAUUGAACUGCAACAGCUGAUCGAUGGUGACCUUGAACUUGACUACUUGCAACAGCUGAUCGAUGGUGACCUUGAACUUGACUACUUGGAACAGCUGAUCGAUGGUGACCUUGAACUGACACAGACUUACACAAAUGACCUUGGGUUGACAGGGUUGACAGAUGACCUUGAAAUAGACUUCUAGAUUUCUUCCAUACACAGUUAAAUGACUACUGGUGAUAGAGUGAGGUACACUUCAUAAAAGCAGUAUUUUAAGGAUAUCCAGGAUCAUCCUAUCCAUUAAAAAACCAAAAAAUGGUUUGAUUUAGAAAAAACUCAACCAAAAAUGGAAGAUUUGAAACGAACAUCAAGUAAUGAUGCAUGAUGAUGAAAGAUCUUCUAAUAUUUUUCACCCAUUUUGAAUCAACUAGCUACUUUCCUAUCUACCUAGUCGAUUUUGUGGACUGUAAAGUGAAUAAAACCAUUAUUACAGAAAUCAUUUAUUCAAAAAAUUGAAUAGAAAACAAUAUAAAUGCGCACCUCAGUUCACUCAGAGUUCAUAAUAUUGGUGAUCGAUUGCUUACUUGAUGAAAUGUUUAUUCAUUUAUCUUUGACAAUGCAUGUCAAAAUGAUAGACUUCCCAUGAACUUUUCUCUAAAAUCGACUGAAUAUUAUCCAAGCUCUUCAUAAUAUUGCAUUUUUUGUAAAUGAAACAGAGCCUGUAUGCUUUUCUUAAAAUGUGUGUAUACAGAGCUGGGCUACUCAUUUUUUAUCCAUAGAAUAACAUCAUAGUAGGCUACCCUUUUCUUGAAAAGUUUUCAAAUAUAAAAUAACAGAUUGAAAACACGAAGCCUGUAGGCUUUAUAUUUUUUUGAAAAACCUGCAAUUUUUCUUGGUUCCAUAUUAUGAAACCAGGAGGCCUCUAUAAAUAAUUAGGAAUAUCUGAUAAUAUAGUUGAGUAUUGCCUAUAUGUUUAUUUAUUAAUCUCAAGAAGAACUAAUGCUAAUAUACAAUAUUUUGAACAAUUCUCAACAAUAAAAAAUAAAUAAUAUGAAGAAAAAACCAAGGAGAAAGAAUAUUAUUUAUGCUUCUACAAUAUUUGGAACAAUUUUUAACAAAAGAAAAAGAAUUAUAUUGUGUUUUCUCUGAAAAUAAAUAAUAAAACAGCUCUUCUCAAAUGUAAUGUCCAAUAGAACUGAUAUAAUAUUGUAUUAUUGAACAGUCAUUUAGAUUUAGGUUUCAAAUAUUUUUGUUCAAUGUGAAUAAUUAUGUUAUUCAUGAAUCAUAACAAUGAACUUCAUGAUUCUUUAUUGAUUCAUACAAUAAGUACAUCAUCAAAGUUCUCUUUAUUCAGAAUAGCCCCUGUUGAAUCAGUAAUUGAUGAAUACCAAUUCUAUUGAAAUAAAUUAUGGUAACUGAAAAUCAAACUUAAAAUCGGAAUCUGAAAGACUGACUGUAUAUUUUAUGAAUAUUAUAUAAAUACUAAUUAAUUCUUAAGCAUUAUGCAACAUGAUGCACAGUAGUUAUAACUGCUACCCACUAUUCUAGUGUUUUUUAUGUGUAGAUGAUUUAGAAUUUAAUUUAUAUUAACUCUAAUGAUAAGCUAUCUAUAAUUAACUAUUAUUCAAUCUAAUCGUUCCUUAUUUUAGAAUACGUAGUUGUAUGUAUUAAAGUUAAUGUCUUCAUGAUAAUUUAUUGUCAAACAUAUUAACUAGGCUAACUUUUAAGUUGUAAAGAUUGUGAAGCUUGAAUUUAACACUUUAUCAGGAAACAGUUGAAUAUUCAAGUUGAUUAAAUGUAUUGAUUUUUUAAAUUUUCCGGCGAAAUAUUAUUCCUGAUAGGUAUUUGAUGAUUUAAUUGAGAAAUUUUACAGUUGAAUAAUAAUUCGACAAAUAAUAAGAAGCGUUUCACCCUGUUGUCAAUAUUUGUAGUAGCAGAAGUCAUCAGGGUGAUUUACAGCAUUUAAUUUGGAUUUACGUUCAAUAAUAAUUUGAGUGAUAAUACUUGUUUGCUUAUUAGGUGAAUAUUGUAAUAUUGUGAGUUCUAAUAGUAAUUGGAGAACAGUAAGUUUUUCAGAAUGUAAAAAAUCUAUAAUUUGCAACAAAUUGAAGAUAUUGUUGAAGGUUUUAUACCAAUUGAUUUUUCAUAGCUUGUAUCAAUAAGAUAAUAUGGAAUCUAAAUUUAAAAAUGCCAAAUUAACAAAAGGAAAAAAAGAUUCAAGUUAUAUUGAUUGAUGAAAAAACAGUCAUUGAAAUUCAAUGCAACUCUAUUCAUUAAUUCAUUUUUACAAGCAGGCCAACUAAUAAUACUAUCUAGGAUUCGAGAAGGAUUUUGACUAUGAGUGUUCAAGACUUCUUGAUAUAAUGAUAGAUCACUUUUGUUUCUAGUUCUAUCUAUUAUAGCUUGUAAAUAAGUAGACUACUAUUUUUAUACUUAAUUUUUAUUUCAUCUAGGCAAGCCAAAAGAACAAUAAUAUUGUUCCGAGUUUUCAAGACGUCUUGGAAAUGUUGAUAACAUUAUAAUUUGUAUUUAACAUAGCUGUAAUUGUAAUCAUUAUUGUUUAAUUGUUUAAUAACAUUAUGUAAGUUAUCUUGAAGUUCAACUUCUAAAAAUAAAAUCUAUGAGAUAAUAAUA